AGAUACCGAGUUAAAUUUGAAUUUGAGGUAAAUCAUGAAAAUGAAUUUAGUAUAAGCAUAUUCUAUGUAAUAUUUGGGACAUACGUAUACUAAAAAUAUUUUCAUUGUUUAUCUGAAAUUCACAUCUAA
rnacentral:miRNA from 1 species